AUGCACUUUGUGCCCGACGGCGUCGACAUGAACCCUGAUCUGAUGGAGUACGUGUUUGACGGCUCCAACUCGGACACGUACUUGAAGUUCACGCUUGAAGGCAUAAAGACGGACAACCGUCCAAUUGUGAACAAUGAUCUGAUGCAUUUCUUGCUCGACGGGGUCGGCACAGACAAGGAUCCCAUACAAGUUGAGUCCAUGUCCGAUGAUGCUGUCGCGGACAAUGGAGGGUUGCAACUCCUCAGUGGUGGUGGCGACAAGGGCAAGGGAGGGGAGCAGUUUGUGGCUGGUGGUGACAUCAGAAAAAAGGGAGGCACGGACUACGUGGUUGGCGGCGCCUACAUUAAUAGGGCAGCGAUGCAGCCCUUGACUGUUGACAUGGAAAAAGAUGAUGCGGGCAAGGACAAAUCCUGGAUGGAGUUUCUCCGCGGCGAUGCAUACUGGAAUCAGUUCAUUCCUGAUGACGGCUGGAACUCCAGCACCGCCUCGUAA
rnacentral:rRNA from 1 species